UCUGUGUCAUCUAGGAGAUCUCCUCGGUCUGGUAGUUUCUGUGCCCUUAUAUUUUCAAGAUCAUGGACUGUACUUAUUUUGUAUGCAGACCAAAGAGGGAGAUUUGGGAAAUGUAUAUACAUAGAUCUAAGAAAGCAGGAAGGAACGCGGUGCUCUAUGGAUGAAAUCCAACUCCCCCGUGUAUGUCUGUUUACUCGGAAAGAACUCCUCGGUAUUCAGUUGAACUUAUUCCCAGAGCUUGCAGGUUCUGCUCUAGAGCUCCUGAAUGGAGGACGCAAACCGGGGUGUUCAAACGAGCCAACGGACUCCACCUGAUUCGGAGUCCAUCUGGAGCAGUCCCCACUCCGCCCGAGUUCGGAUAAGUCGGCUUCGGAGUGACCCCGUUUCGGAUUUCGACGACGCGUUUCUGAAACACACCACCUUAAGGAGCUACGAACAUGGAAGGGGGCUUCCUGCCGGACGUUUACAGCGCCAUCAUGCUUACUCAGAAGUAAGCCCCACUGAAUGCAAUGUCUCUUAUUCCAUACCUGUUCAAAGGGGGCUUUGGGCCGCCUGUCGUGGGCUGACAAUAGCCGCCGAGCCCCACUCUAGGAAUCGACAAUCACUUCACAGCUGCUGCUUUAUUUCCCCACUUUCCGAGCCCUCGACCAAAAAGAAAGAAAGAAAAGGCAGAAAGGGGAAGGGGGAAAAAAAAAUCCCCCCUGCUCUCCAAAAGAUCUCUUCAAACCCGCGCUCCAGAAGUUAUGAAAUAUGUCCUUGUGCCGCACUGAUUUCGCGUGGGGAGAAGACAAGAAAACGUCCAGGAAAAAGAAAGAGAAAAGGCAGAAAACUUUCGGAGGGGUGCUUUCGACCCCCACCCCCCGCCCCCGCCCCCGCCCCCAGCUCCUUUUGGCAUUCUCUGCUCAGCUCGAGGUUUCAUUCGCAAAAGGCCCGGAGUGUGAAAGGCCUCCAUUG